rnacentral:rRNA from 1 species
CCUACGGGAGGCAGCAGUGAGGAAUAUUGGUCAAUGGACGAGAGUCUGAACCAGCCAAGCAGCGUGAAGGAUGACUGCCCUAUGGGUUGUAAACUUCUUUUAUAAAGGAAUAAAACGAGGCACGUGUGCCUUUUUGCAUGUACUUUAUGAAUAAGGAUCGGCUAACUCCGUGCCAGCAGCCGCGGUAAUACGGAGGAUCCGAGCGUUAUCCGGAUUUAUUGGGUUUAAAGGGAGCGUAGAUGGGUUGUUAAGUCAGUUGUGAAAGGUUGGGGCUCAACCGUAAAAUUGCAAUUGAUACUGGCAGUCUUGAGUACAGGUGAGGUAAGCGGAAUUCGUGGUGUAGCGGUGAAAUGCUUAGAUAUCACGAAGAACCCCGAUUGCGAAGGCAGCUUACUAGACUGUGACUGACAUUGAUGCUCGAAAGUGUGGGUAUCAAACAGGAUUAGAUACCCCUGUAGUC